rnacentral:misc_RNA from 1 species
UUAAGUUCAGCGGGUAUCCCUACCUGAUCCGAGGUCAACCUUUGAAAAUUAGGGGUUGCCUGGCAAGCCUCCGCCCAGGGCUCUGUAGCGAGAAGAAUUACUACGCUUAGAGCCGGGUGGUGCCGCCACUGAUUUUAAGGCCCGCCCAGAGGCGAGGCCCAAGACCAGCAAGCUGGAUUGGUUUAAAUGACGCUCGAACA